UACGUAGGGUGCGAGCGUUGUCCGGAAUUACUGGGCGUAAAGAGCUCGUAGGUGGUUUGUCGCGUUGUUCGUGAAAACUCACAGCUUAACUGUGGGCGUGCGGGCGAUACGGGCAGACUGGAGUACUGCAGGGGAGACUGGAAUUCCUGGUGUAGCGGUGGAAUGCGCAGAUAUCGGGAGGAACACCGGUGGCGAAGGCGGUUCUCUGGGCCUGUUCUGACGCUGAGGAGCGAAAGCGUGGGGAGCAAACAGG
rnacentral:rRNA from 1 species